GACGAACGCUGGCGGCGUGCCUAAUACAUGCAAGUCGAACGCUGAAGGAGGAGCUUGCUUCUCUGGAUGAGUUGCGAACGGGUGAGUAACGCGUAGGUAACCUGCCCGGUAGCGGGGGAUAACUCUUGGAAACGAUAGCUAAUACCGCAUAAGAGUAGAUGUUGCAUGACAUUUGCUUAAAAGGUGCAAUUGCAUCACUACCAGAUGGACCUGCGUUGUAUUAGCUAGUUGGUGGGGUAACGGCUUACCAAGGCGACGAUACAUAGCCGACCUGAGAGGGGGAACGGCCACACUGGGACUGAGACACGGCCCAGACUCCUACGGGAGGCAGCAGGAGGGAAUCUUCGGCAAUGGACGGAAGUCUGACCGAGCAACGCCGCGUGAGGGAAGAAGGUUUUCGGAUCGUAAAGCUCUGUUGUAAGAGAAGAACGAGUGUGAGAGUGGAAAGUUCACACUGUGACGGUAUCUAACCAGAAAGGGACGGCUAACUACGUG
rnacentral:rRNA from 1 species